rnacentral:rRNA from 1 species
AAACGUAGGAGGCUAGCGUUAUCCGGAUUUAUUGGGCGUAAAGCGCGUGCAGGCGGUCUAGCAAGUUGGAUGUGAAAGCUCCUGGCUUAACUGGGAGAGGUCGUUCAAUACUGUUAGACUAGAGAAUGGGAGAGGGAGGUGGAAUUCCGGGUGUAGUGGUGAAAUGCGUAGAUAUCCGGAGGAACACCAGUGGCGAAAGCGGCCUCCUGGACCACUUCUGACGCUAAGACGCGAAAGCUAGGGUAGCAAACGGGAUUAGAGACCCCGGUAGUCCUAGCCGUAAACGAUGUAGACUUGGCGUUGGCGGAGUUAAAUCUGCCAGUGCCGUAGCUAACGCGAUAAGUCUACCGCCUGGGGACUACGACCGCAAGGUUAAA